rnacentral:misc_RNA from 1 species
CAGCAAUUGUAAGGUGCAAUAAAUAUACAAUCAGUCAUUUAAGAGUUAACAUUUGUAUUCUGGUAAUGAAACGAAUUACAUAAAAGAAUAGUAAGAUUCUAAAACACUAUUAUCUAGAACACUGCAGUGCAAUAAAUUUAGACAUGAGCACAUAGCUGUGGGACAUCAUCUCUUGCACUCUUCUCACAACGAUCCACUACUGCGUGUAUCCACCAAAUGAUUCUGUAGUGUCAGGACGGUGAAGCUUGGAACCAAUUCAAAGGAGUUGUGCUACACUGCUGCUACAACUCAAUGACAAACUGGCACAAUUGAUAUUCGUUUUCUCAAUCUUCAUUAUCAGAAUCACCAAAUUUUAUUUUGGUGGCCUUUGGAGCAUUUGCGUCAAUUUCUCUAAAAUGAGCACCAUAGAGCUUGGACUCCUUUUUCUUUACAUGGGUUCCAAAGUUAAGAAGGGCAGCUGGAACAGUCUGUCCAGCUUCUCUGAGGACAUUUAUCAACUCCCCAGAAAGUCCCUUGUUAUCUUUAGUGAAGAAUGUAUGAGCUACACCUUUUUUACCAGCCCUUCCAGUUCUUCCAAUUCUAUGAACAUAAUCCUCUGUUGUCAAAGGGAAGCUAUAAUUUAUCACAACUUCAACAUCAGGUAUAUCAAGCCCUCGAGCAGCUACAUCAGUAGCUAUCAGUAGAGGACAGCUUCCAUCCUUGAAGAGUGACAGGGCCUUAGUACGAGCAUGUUGUUGCUUGUCACCACUUAUAGAGACAACUUUCCAACCCCUUUUCUGUAGCAUAAUUUCUACACGAGAUGCUUCCUUCUUGUAUAAAACAAACACCAAUACUCUAUUCCUUCUAGACUUGUGGUAUUUUUCCAGCAAACAUUGUAAACGCUCAUCCCGUGCUCGAUCUUCCAAGACCUCAACAAUUUGCAUGACAUCAUGGUUGGCAGCCAAAUCUUCUGAACCUACAACUACCUUGAUUGGAUUGGGAUCCAUGAACUCUUGAGCUAAUUGAUGAACUUCCGGAGGCCAUGUAGCACUGAACAUAACCAUCUGCCGAACAGAGCAUGUUUGGCUUAAUAUGGCACGGACCGCUGGUUCAAAACCUAAAUCAAGCAUGCGAUCAGCUUCAUCUAGCACCACAAAAGAAACCUCUUUUAAAUUGCAAGCUCCCAUUUCCAUCAGAUCUUGCAAACGACCAGGGGUUCCAAUAACAAUAUCCACGCCAGAUCUAAGAGAAGCCUUUUGAUGGUGCUUAUCAACUCCGCCAUAUAGACAAACUGACUGCACACCAGUAGGCUUCCCAGCCUCACAGAGAACAUCUGAUAUUUGUUGAGCUAACUCUCUUGUAGGUGAAAGCACAAGGCAAACAGGAUUCUUAGACUUCUUACUCUUCCGCUCAGUCGUGAUGUGCAUAAUAGCCGGAAUACCAAAAGCCAAUGUCUUACCUGAUCCAGUUCUAGCUAUGCCAAUGAAAUCACGCCCAUCUAAAAGAAAAGGCCAUGAAUGAGAUUGAAUUGGUGAUGGUUUCUCAAAAUUCUUACAACAUUCCAACACCUCACUUGGAAGCCCUGCAUCCACAAACUUCUCUAAAGCUUUGUACUUUAACUCAUUAGCACCCUUACCCGUAACCACCACAUUUGUACUACUUUCUUUAACCUUCCCAUUAACAACAGUAACAUCCGACCCAUCAUCCAAAUUCCCUUCCUUUACCUUACUCUUCUUCUCCUUCUUCGACUUCUUCUUUUCCGAUAACUCAGCUGACCCAUCAAAUAUUUCAGUAUUUCCAUUCGACCCAUCAAGAGUUUCAGUGUUCCCAUUGGACCCAUCUUCUUCUUGCUUCGGCUUCUGCUUCUUCUUCUUCUUUUUCUCU